AACGAACGCUGGCGGCAUGCCUAACACAUGCAAGUCGAACGAAGUCUUCGGACUUAGUGGCGCACGGGUGCGUAACGCGUGGGAAUCUGCCCUUGGGUACGGAAUAACUCAGAGAAAUUUGUGCUAAUACCGUAUAAUGUCUUCGGACCAAAGAUUUAUCGCCCAAGGAUGAGCCCGCGUAAGAUUAGCUAGUUGGUGGGGUAAAAGCCUACCAAGGCGACGAUCUUUAGCUGGUCUGAGAGGAUGAUCAGCCACACUGGGACUGAGACACGGCCCAGACUCCUACGGGAGGCAGCAGUGGGGAAUAUUGGACAAUGGGCGAAAGCCUGAUCCAGCAAUGCCGCGUGAGUGAUGAAGGCCCUAGGGUUGUAAAGCUCUUUUACCAGGGAUGAUAAUGACAGUACCUGGAGAAUAAGCUCCGGCCAACUCCGUG
rnacentral:rRNA from 1 species